UUAAGCAUAUCACUAAGCGGAGGAAAAGAAACUAACCAGGAUUCCCUUAGUAACGGCGAGUGAACAGGGAUUAGCCCAGCACCGAAGCCUGUGAUUGUUUGAUUACUAGGCAAUGUGGUGUUUAGAUUGGCUUUAAGCAUUUUUGCUUCAUUCUAAGUCCAUUAAUGAGUGCGGCUUGUACACUGUCCCAUGGAGGGUGAAAGGCCCGUUAGAAUGAAGUCGAAGUGUUUUAAGUUAAUCUUGGAGUCGGGUUGUUUGUGAAUGCAGCCCAAAGUGGGUGGUAGACUCCAUCUAAGGCUAAAUACUGGCACGAGUCCGAUAGCAAACAAGUACCGUGAGGGAAAGUUGAAAAGUACUUUGAAGAGAGAGUAAACAGUGCGUGAAACCGCUCAGAGGUAAACGGGUGGAGUUGAACUGGAAUCCUUGGCAAUUUAGCUGAUGAGUUGUGGCUGUUAAACAGGGUUUGUUUAAUUGCAAACCUAGACUUUAAAGUAUGGGUGCAUGUAACACUGGUCAAGUGUUAUGGGCCUUGUUUAUAUUAAGCUGCCUCGUCAGUGCAUUUUGUCAGGGUGAUCACCACGACCGGCGUAGUUUCCUGUUUGCUGUGGUUAAAUCGGCUUGGCAUAGUUGUAAUGGCUAUGUUUAGUCGAGAUAGCAGGUAGCUUGCUUGUUUAUUUGGAAACAGGUAGGUGUUAAAUAGCUGACCACAGUAGAUUGUGCAUUAUGUCGGAGAUAACGGCUGGAGUGGACUUUGUUUAACUAAUUUAAUUAAACUUGAUUAGCGCGAACUUGCUUGCGUGAGUCCGUUAGUAGCUUAACUAAGUUAGUUAAAUAGUUGUCUUGCUUUUGAUUGGCCUAUAGUCUGUGGUGUAGUGGUAGACUAUCCACCCGACCCGUCUUGAAACACGGACCAAGGAGUUUAACAUGUACGCGAGUCAAUGGGCGUUACGAAACCCAAAGGCGCAAUGAAAGUAAAGGUUCGGCUUGUUCGGACUAAGGUAAGAUCUUGCGUUACUAGCGCAAGCGCAUUACCAGCCCGUCUUAUGGUGUAGUUAUAAGGUUUUGGCCUUGUACGUCAUUGGGGCGGAGCUAGAGCGUACAUGUUGAGACCCGAAAGAUGGUGAACUAUGCUUGCGUAGGUUGAAGCCAGAGGAAACUCUGGUGGAGGACCGUAGCGAUUCUGACGUGCAAAUCGAUUGUCAAACGUGAGUAUAGGGGCGAAAGACUAAUCGAACCAUCUAGUAGCUGG
rnacentral:rRNA from 1 species